rnacentral:rRNA from 1 species
CCUAAGGCCAGCGAGAGAACUGUUGUUAAGGAACUCGGCAAAAUGACCCCGUAACUUAGGGAUAAGGGGUGCCCCCAUCAGGUGGCCGCAGAGAAUAGGCCCAAGCGACUGUUUACCAAAAACAUAGGUUUCUGCUAAGUCGCAAGACGAUGUAUAGGAGCUGACGCCUGCCCGGUGCUGGAAGGUUAAGGGGAUCUGUUAGAG